AUGGUGCGUGCCUGGGGCAGAGGGGGCGUCAGGCAGGGCCCGGCCCUCGGGGCCGGGGUGGGGGCGAGGCCCUACCUGCAGGAUGUAGUCCACGUCUGCCUUGUCCGCUAUCACCGCCCUGUGCCUGCAAGGCGCCCUGGGGUGAGUGCUGGGAGGUGCCACCGGCGCCCACCCUAUGCCGGGACACGCGGCCCCCCCCAGCCUCUCUGGGCCCCACCUGCGGAUGAGCUGGCACAGGCCGGCUGCGAGGUGCUGGUUGAAGAGCAGGGCGUUGAGGGGCUUCUCCAGCGACUCCAUGGUCUCAAAGGGGUCCCAGCUGGCAGAGAUGGCCAUAGCGGCCACCAGCCCUGCCGCUCGCCCCGUCCGGGCCAGGUAGUUCAGCACCAGGACCCUGCGGGCACAGCAGGCGCCAGGGUCAGGGGGAGCGAAGCUGCCGUCCCCAGCGCUGGGGCUCUCUCUUACCCRCCCAAGGAGACUCCCACGGCCAGGAGCGGGGCCUGCGGGAACUGGGUCCUGAUGUGCCUGAUGGCUGUCUCCAGGUCCUCAGUGUUGCUGGCGCAGAAGGUCCGGGGGGUCUGGGAGGGGGAAUGGAGCUGGGGGCACGCUGGGGGCAGCUCCCGAGCUGAGGCUGUGCAGUGCCCUGCUGUGCCCCCCCCCGGGGCGCUGCCUGGCCCCGGCUGCCCCCCCCCAGGCCUCCACCAGGGCCAGGUCACUCACCAGCAGCUCCUCGCCCCCGCAGCCCCGGUUGUUGAGCACGACCGACCUGGGGAGAGAGCAGAGGCGUCGAGGCCGGGCGGCGCGCCCAUGCUUGCGCUCCCAGGGCUGCGGCACGGCUGCCCACACCAGGGCUGCGGCUCACCUGYAGCCGGCGCGCUGCGCCUGCCGCACCAGGUGCAGGACGUAGGCGGCCUGGCUGCUGCCGAUGAGGCCCGGGAGCAGCAGCACGGUGGGGCGGGUGCGGGGGUCGGGGUGCUGGCUGCUGCCCGCGCCGUCGGCCCAGUCGAGCAGCAGCUGGCCGCCGUCGGGGGUGCGGAUCCGCUCGCUGCGGGGAGCGCAGGGUCGGCGCCGGGGCCCGGGUCGGGCCCGGGGGCCGCGGCCUCGCCUGGCCUCACCUGCGGUAGGAGACGGGCGGGCGGGACUGGAGCAGGGCGCGCAGCAGCGUCUGGAGGCGGCCCUCGAAGCACCAGGCCGUGGGGUAGAAGGUCUCGGCCGCCGCGGGGCAGCGCCGCCGCACGAAGGCGCGGAGCCGCGCGC
rnacentral:lncRNA from 1 species